rnacentral:rRNA from 1 species
AGAGUUUGAUCAUGGCUCAGGAUGAACGCUGGCGGCGUGCUUAACACAUGCAAGUCGAACGAAGCGAGAGGAGCUUGCUCCUUAAGCUUAGUGGCGGACGGGUGAGUAACGUGUGGGCAACCUGCCUUUUACAGGGGAAUAAUCACUGGAAACGGUGACUAAUACCGCAUACGACCUUCGGAAGGCAUCUUCUGAAGAGGAAAGGAGCAAUCCGGUAAAAGAUGGGCCCGCAUCUGAUUAGCUAGUUGGUGAGAUAACAGCCCACCAAGGCAACGAUCAGUAGCCGACCUGAGAGGGUGAUCGGCCACAUUGGGACUGAGACACGGCCCAAACUCCUACGGGAGGCUGCA